GACGAACGCUGGCGGCGUGCUUAACACAUGCAAGUCGAACGGAAAGGCCCUGCUUUUGUGGGGUGCUCGAGUGGCGAACGGGUGAGUAACACGUGAGUAACCUGCCCUUGACUUUGGGAUAACUUCAGGAAACUGGGGCUAAUACCGGAUAGGAGCUCCUGCUGCAUGGUGGGGGUUGGAAAGUUUCGGCGGUUGGGGAUGGACUCGCGGCUUAUCAGCUUGUUGGUGGGGUAGUGGCUUACCAAGGCUUUGACGGGUAGCCGGCCUGAGAGGGUGACCGGCCACAUUGGGACUGAGAUACGCACCAGACUCCUACGGGAGGCAGCAGUGGGGAAUAUUGCACAAUGGGCGGAAGCCUGAUGCAGCAACGCCGCGUGCGGGAUGACGGCCUUCGGGUUGUAAACCGCUUUCGCCUGUGACGAAGCGUGAGUGACGGUAAUGGGUAAAGAAGCACCGGCUAACUACGUG
rnacentral:rRNA from 1 species